GUCCACGCCGUAAACGAUGUCAACUAGCCGUUGGAACCUUUAAGGUUUAGUGGUGCAGCUAACGCGAUAAGUUGACCGCCUGGGGAGUACGGUCGCAAGAUUAAAACUCAAAUGAAUUGACGGGGCCCGCACAAGCGGUGGAGUAUGUGGUUUAAUUCGAUGCAACGCGAAGAACCUUACCUGGCCUUGACAUGUCCGGAACUUACCAGAGAUGGUUUGGUGCCUUCGGGAACCGGAACACAGGUGCUGCAUGGCUGUCGU
rnacentral:rRNA from 1 species